AGGAGGCGCAGUUACUGAUAUAGCCAAGGUGGGACACUACUGGAGGGAGCUAGAAGGGAUCAGCCAGCCAUGCCUCCAGUUCAGGUACUUGGCAUUGCUAAGCUCAGAACAGGACUUGCCAGUGUCUAGAUGAAAAAGAGGAGAGAUCUCAAGAGGGAUAACCAAUUGGCUGGCAAAGUAACAAAUGAAAAGUAACCUGACUCUAUUGACCUGCUUAACCCUGCAUGGGGGGGAAGGAUGGAAAGGAGCAGCUGUUUGCUUUGAAACGGUGGAACAGUUUUGCAGCCUUAGAAAAUGGCAUGUAACAUACCUAACCAAAGACAGCGGACUCUGUCAACAACAGGAGAAGCUCUAUACGAAAUUCUUGGUCUGCAUAAGGGAGCAUCAAAUGAAGAAAUUAAGAAAACCUACAGGCUGGAAAAUCCCUUCACCUAAAGGCACCUGGCUCCUCAGCUACUACCAACAAGGAGUGUUGGGAGCCUCAGAAGCGGGAGACAAACCAAACAAACCAAAGAAGCACCGUAAAGACUCUGAAAAGUAGAUUGUUAUUGGAACCACUCACAAAAGUAGGCUAGAACCUGCAUGCUAAACCUAAAGGGGGCUGCCUGCUAAAAUAAAACAACUUAAAUAGAACCCAUUAUCUCCCAACAUGAUAACCAAAAUAUCCAGAUACAAACAAAAUGACCCAUCCUACAAAGAAGCAAGAAAAUCACAACUUGAAUAAGAAAAGACAAUCAGCUAACUCCUGUGCUGAGAUGAACCAGAUGUUGGAACUAUCUGAAAAGCAUUUUAAAGUAACCAUCAUAGGCCGGGUGCGGUGGCUCUCGCCUGUAAUCCCAGCACUUUGGGAGGCCGAGGCUGGCGGAUCACGAGGUCAGGAGAUUGAGACCAUCCUGGCUAACACAGUGAAAGCCCAUCUCUACUAAAAAUACAAAAAUUAGCCGGGCUUAGUGGCAGGCGCCUAUAGUCCCAGCUACUCGGGAGGCUGAGGCAGGAGAAGGGCGUGAACCUGGGAGGCGGAGCUUGCAGUGAGCCGAGAUCGCGCCACUGCACUCCAGCCUGGGCGACAGAGCAAGACUGUCUCAAAAAAUAAAUAAAUAAAUAAAGUAACCAUCAUAAAAAAUUCAACAAGUAACGACAAAUUCUCUUGAAGCAAGUAAAAAAAAAUGGAAAUUCUCAGUGAAGAAAUAGGAAUUAACAAAAAAGAACCAAAUGGAAACUAUAGAACCAAAAAAUAACACAAAUAAUAAAACUAACUGGAUGAGCUUAAUAGUACAGUGGAGAUGACAGAGAAUAGAAAUUGAGGACAGAUCAAUAGAAUGUUCCCGAUCUGAACAACCGAUAAACAAUAAACUGAAAACAGAGUCUCAGAAACCUGUGGGACAAUAACAAAGAUCCAACAUUUAUAGCAUUGACAUCCUAGAAGGAGAAGAGUGAAACAAUGGGACUAAAAGAGUACUAAAAGAAGUAAUGGCUGGAAAUUCCCCACAUUUGGCAAAAAAUAGAAACCUACAGAUUCAAGAGGCUGAGAGAACUCCGACAGGAUAAACCCAAAGCAAUCAAUGCCAAGAAACAUUAUAAUUAAAUUUCUGAAAACUACAGACAAAGAAAAAAAUUUGAAAGCAGCCAGGGAGAAACAAUGCAUGGCCAAACACCCAUUUGAAUGGCAGCAUAUUUCUCAUCUAAAGCAACAGCAGCCUGAAGGAAGUGACAAAAGAUUUUUCAACUGAUGAAAGAGAAGAACUGUCAACAGAAAAUUCUGUAUCUGGUGAAACUAUAUUUCACGAGUGAAUGGGGAAAUACGUUCUCACAUAAAGGGAAUCUAAAAGAAUUGUCACUAGCAGAUCUCUUCUUAAAGAAUGGCUAAAGGAAGUUCUUCGAAAGAAAGGAAAUGAUAAAGAAAGGAUCUUAGACGAUCAGGAAGAAGGAAAGAACAAGGGAGAAAGCAGAAAUAUGGAAAAUUGGCCCUGAAACACCAUCCAGACAAGAAUCCAGAUGAUCCAGCUGCUACUGAGAAGUUUAAAGAAAUCAACAACGCCCACGCAAUACUUACCGACAUUUCAAAGAGAAGCAUAUACGACAAGUACGGAUCGCUGGGACUCUACGUGGCCGAGCAGUUUGGAGACGAAAACGUUAACACCUACUUCAUGCUGUCGAGCUGGUGGGCAAAGGCCCUGUUUGUCAUCGUUGGCCUCUUGACGGGCUGCUACUUUUGCUGCUGCCUGUGCUGCUGCUGCAACUGCUGCUGUGGACACUGCCGGCCCGAGUCAUCAGUGCCAGAAGAGGACUUCUAUGUGUCCCCAGAGGAUCUGGAGGAGCAGAUCAAGUCUGACAUGGAAAAAGAUGUGGACUUUCCAGUUUUUCUCCAGCCUACAAAUGCAAAUGAGAAAACACAGCUAAUCAAAGAAGGAUCUCGAAGUUAUUGCACAGACUCUUGAUAUUGAGCCCUCAGAGAGUCCACAGUCCCUCCUCUCAGUUCAGUCUUGUCUCCAGAUGGUCGUAGGGGAGCGUGUGGGGCAUAAAGUGCUGUGAACUUUUCCAUCUUGUUGUUUUAUUUUUGGGUUAGGAAAACAUGAUUGCUAUAUAAUUUUCUCAGUAUGCAGACUUUCUCUCUGAGUAGAAUUUCUUAUGAAACACAUUCAAUUUGGGUGAAUAAAGGCCUGAAGAGUUAUUUUACCCUCCUUGCCUGAUGUAGGACAGUGGAAUUGUACAGCCUUUAUGAACCUGCCCUUUAUGUGUGGCAGAUCUGAUUCCUAACUGACCAAAGUAAUAUUCCAGAACAAAAGCCACUUUUCUUACAUUUAACACAAUAUUCAUAUCUACCACGAACAUGAUCAUCAAAAUAUAUGAGAACUUAUAAAGAGUUUUUGUGUGUGGAGCCUCUUCCGUGUCAAUAUUCAAUAAAGUUAUAGAAAUGUUUCAAGAGCCAGAAAGGGAUGAUUUUUUUUUAAAUCACAUUUUUAAGGUAUAUUUUUGGAACAUUAAAAAUUGGCAUUUACUGAAAACUGGAAACCAGGAAGAAACAGGUUUUGUGUGUACUUUUAGAUUGGCUUAAAAACAAAACAAAACAAAACUUCAACCUGGUUAAAUGUUGUAAGUGAACCAGAAAAUCAUUCUGAGCCUGAACCCGCCCCAUCAGCAUGUUGAUCAUUUUCUAGUAAAAUAAUUUUUGUAUAACUGGCUCAGAUUAGCCAGACUAAGGGAAAAAAAACAGAUGAAGGGGUAGAACUCUAUACUCUAGAGCCUAAAUUUACACCAAAACAUGUAUCACCUCAUUUUUGUUAAAAUUAGUUGCCUUGACCAGAAAUUGCUCAGCUCUGUGCAUGUUACACAAUUUAAGCCCAGAGGUCAUCUCUGCAUUUGCUUGUUUGAUUCUUGUAUUUAUUAUGUGGUAGAAACCAUGUGCUAUUUCUAAAAUACUAUGGCAGAAAAAGUGUUCGUUUUUCUAGCUCUUUCUUACUUUUUUAUAUAAUAUUGCAUUUUCAAGAUCUUGUUAUGUUUUUAUAUAAUAUUGUAUAAAAUGCCUUUAUCUUUUUUCUUGUUUCUUAUUCCCACCCAAAAAAUUAUAGUUAAUUGCUGCUAAAUAUAUAUUGUAAGUGAGAAUUAGUGUUAUAGCUCUGAUAGUUCUGAGGUCAUUAAAAUUCCACUCUAA